rnacentral:rRNA from 1 species
UACAGAGGGAGCAAGCGUUAUCCGGAAUGAUUGGGCGUAAAGCGUCUGUAGGUGGUUCGUAAAGUUUAAUGUCAAAUACCAGGGCUUAACCCUGGACCGGCAUUGAAGCACUCACGGACUUGAGUACGGUAGAGGCAGAGGGAAUUCCAUGUGGAGCGGUGAAAUGCAUAGAUAUCAGGAAGAACAUCGGUGGCGAAGGCGCUCUGCUGGACCAUAACUGACACUCAGGGACGAAAGCUAGGGGAGCGAAUGGG